GAGAUGAUAACUUCGGCUAAUUACACUUGGCUGUAUAAUUUAUUAUAUUUUUUUUAUAUUAAGUUAUUCAUUUUAACCCUCCUCUAUAGGGUAAGUGGGGGUUAAUUAAUUUGUCUAUUCUGCGUGAUUAGGGGAAUGUGGUUAAGGAUAUACCUUAUUUCUAUGGACAGGUGUAAGAUCGAUUUUAUCGAAUAAAAUUCUAGAUAGGAUACUGAUCAUGACAAUUUCCUAUCUAUAUGUCUUGACCAAAAUACGUGCCAGCAGUCGCGGCAAUACGUAGAAGACUAGUGUUAUUCAUCUUUAUUAGGUUUAAAGGGUACCUAGACGGUUUAAUUAGUCUUAAAUAAGAAACGGUUAGACUAGAGUUAUAUAUGAGAAGGGGAGUAUUUAUGGAGUAGAGUUGAAAUUCGUUAAUACCAUGAAGACUGAUAAGGGCGAAAGCAACCUUCUAUCUAAUAACUGACGUUGAGGGACGAAGGCUUGGGUCGCGAACAGGAUUAGAUACCCUAGUAGUCCAAGCAGAAAAUUAUGAAUGCCAUAGACUAGAUUCACUAUCUUAAUAUACUUUUAGUUAUAUUAAGAUAUCUUUUUUUUUCUGGGUUAUCCACUAUCCAACGGAAAAAGAUACUUUUGUUCUUAAAAAAACGGAAAAUAGAGAGACUUUUUUCCCCCCAUCCACUUUUUUAAGAACCCAAAGAGUGUUUAUAUUUAGUCUAUAAAUGAAAGUGUAAGCAUUUCACCUCAAGAGUAAUGUGGCAACGCAGGAACUGAAAUCAUUAGACCGUUUCUGAAACCAGUAGUGAAGUAUGUUAUUUAAUUCGUAAGUACGCGAAAAACCUUACCACAACUUGAAUAUUAUCUUAAUACUAACCUGGUUAGUAGAAAGAUAUUACAAGCGUUGCACGGCUGUCUGCAGUUAAUGUCGUGAGAUAUGGUUAAUUCCAUUAAACUAACGGAAACCCAUACUUUAUUUUUAUUUUAAUUUAAUUAUUGCCCCACACCUUUAUAUGCU
rnacentral:rRNA from 1 species